rnacentral:rRNA from 1 species
CAGCAGCCGCGUUAAUACGUAGGGCGCAAGCGUUGUCCGGAAUUAUUGGGCGUAAAGAGCUCGUAGGCGGUCUGUCGCGUCUGGUGUGAAAUCCCGAGGCUCAACCUCGGGCUUGCAUCGGGUACGGGCAGACUAGAGUGCGGUAGGGGAGACUGGAAUUCCUGGUGUAGCGGUGGAAUGCGCAGAUAUCAGGAGGAACACCGAUGGCGAAGGCAGGUCUCUGGGCCGCAACUGACGCUGAGGAGCGAAAGCAUGGGGAGCGAACAGGAUUAGAUACCCCUGUAGUCCCUGUCUCUUAUAC